rnacentral:rRNA from 1 species
UACGUAGGGGGCAAGCGUUGUCCGGAAUUAUUGGGCGUAAAGGGCGUGUAGGCGGUAUAAUAAGUCAGAUGAGAAAGUUCGGGGCUUAACCCCGGAAUUGCAUUUGAAACUGUAAUACUUGAGUACUGGAGAGGUAAGUGGAAUUCCUAGUGUAGCGGUGAAAUGCGUAGAUAUUAGGAGGAACACCAGUGGCGAAGGCGACUUACUGGACAGAUACUGACGCUGAGGCGCGAAAGCGUGGGGAGCAAACAGG